rnacentral:rRNA from 1 species
CCGGCAAACUUGGGGCCAGCGGCCGGGGUAAUACGGAGGGUGCUAGCGGUAAUCGGAAUUACUGGGCGUAAGGGGCGCGUAGGUGGUUCGUUAAGUUGGAUGUGAAAUCCCCGGGCUCAACCUGGGAACUGCAUCCAAAACUGGCGAGCUAGAGUAGGGCAGAGGGUGGUGGAAUUUCCUGUGUAGCGGUGAAAUGCGUAGAUAUAGGAAGGAACACCAGUGGCGAAGGCGACCACCUGGGCUCAUACUGACACUGAGGUGCGAAAGCGUGGGGAGCAAACAGGAUUAGAUACCCGAGAUC